CAGUAGCCACGGUAAUACGAAGGGGGCUAGCGUUGUUCGGAUUUACUGGGCGUAAAGGGCGCGUAGGCGGACUGAUAAGUCAGGGGUGAAGUCCAAGGCUCAACCUUGGAACUGCCUUUGAUACUGUUUGCCUUGAGUUCGAGAGAGGUAAGUGGAACUGCGAGUGUAGAGGUGAAAUUCGUAGAUAUUCGCAAGAACACCAGUGGCGAAGGCGGCUUACUGGCUCGAAACUGACGCUGAGGCGCGAAAGCGUGGGGAGCAAACAGGAUUAGAUACCCCUGUAGUCCCUGUCUCUUAUACA
rnacentral:rRNA from 1 species